UGAGGCUCGAAAGUAUGGGUAGCAAACAGGAUUAGAUACCCUGGUAGUCCAUACCGUAAACGAUGAAUGCUAAGUGUUGGAGGGUUUCCGCCCUUCAGUGCUGCAGCUAACGCAUUAAGCAUUCCGCCUGGGGAGUACGGCCGCAAGGUUGAAACUCAAAGGAAUUGACGGGGGCCCGCACAAGCGGUGGAGCAUGUGGUUUAAUUCGAAGCUACGCGAAGAACCUUACCAGGUCUUGACAUACUAUGCAAAUCUAAGAGAUUAGACGUUCCCUUCGGGGACAUGGAUACAGGUGGUGCAUGGUUGUCGUCAGCUCGUGUCGUGAGAUGUUGGGUUAAGUCCCGCAACGAGCGCAACCCUUAUUAUCAGUUGCCAGCAUUAAGUUGGGCACUCUGGUGAGACUGCCGGUGACAAACCGGAGGAAGGUGGGGAUGACGUCAAAUCAUCAUGCCCCUUAUGACCUGGGCUACACACGUGCUACAAUGGAUGGUACAACGAGUUGCGAACUCGCGAGAGUAAGCUAAUCUCUUAAA
rnacentral:rRNA from 2 species